rnacentral:rRNA from 1 species
GAUGAACGCUGGCGGCAUGCCUAAUACAUGCAAGUCGAACGAGAGGAAGGAAAGCUUGCUUUCCUGAAUCUAGUGGCGAACGGGUGAGUAACACGUAGGUAACCUGCCCAUGUGCCCGGGAUAACUUCUGGAAACGGAUGCUAAAACCGGAUAGGUAGCAGACAAGCAUUUGACUGCUAUUAAAGUGGCCUUGGCCAUGAACAUGGAUGGACCUGCGGUGCAUUAGCUAGUUGGUGAGGUAACGGCCCACCAAGGCGACGAUGCAUAGCCGGCCUGAGAGGGCGGACGGCCACAUUGGGACUGCGACACGGCCCAAACUCCUACGGGAGGCAGCAGUAGGGAAUUUUCGUCAAUGGGGGGAACCCUGAGCGAGCAAUGCCGCGUGAGUGAGGAAGGUCUUCGGAUCGUAAAGCUCUGUUGUAAGAGAAAAACGGCACUCAUAGGGAAUGAUGAGUGAGUGAUGGUAUCUUACCAGAAAGUCACGGCUAACUACGUGCCAGCAGCCGCGGUAAGAC